GAGUGGCGAACCGGUGAAGUACCACGUUGGGAAAUCUGCCUUGGAGUGGGGGAAUAACAUUCGGAAACGGAUGCUAAUACCGCAUAUCUUUUUGAACCGCAUGGUUCUUAAACGAAAGACGGCUUCGGCUGUCGCUUUUAGAUGAUCCCGCGGCGUAUUAGUUAGUUGGUGGGGUAAAGGCCUACCAAGACCAUGAUACGUAGCCGACCUGAGAGGGUGAUCGGCCACACUGGGACUGAGACACGGCCCAGACUCCUACGGGAGGCAGCAGUAGGGAAUCUUCCACAAUGGGUGAAAACCUGAUGGAGCAAUGCCGCGUGAAUGAAGAAGGUCUUCGGAUCGUAAAGUUCUGUUAUUAGAGAAGAACAAGUCAAGGAGUAACUGUCUUGACUUUGACGGUACCUAACCAGAAAGUCACGGCUAACUACGUGCCAGCAGCCGCGGUAAUACGUAGGUGACAAGCGUUGUCCGGAAUUAUUGGGCGUAAAGGGAGCGCAGGCGGUUGGAAUAGUCUGAUGUGAAAGCCCACGGCUUAACCGUGGAAGGUCAUUGGAAACUGUCCAACUUGAAUACAGAAGAGGUAAGUGGAAUUCCAAGUGUAGCGGUGAAAUGCGUAGAUAUUUGGAGGAACACCAGUGGCGAAGGCGACUUACUGGUCUGUAAUUGACGCUGAGGCUCGAAAGCGUGGGUAGCAAACAGGAUUAGAUACCCUGGUAGUCCACGCCGUAAACGAUGAGUGCUAAGUGUUAGGGGGUUUCCGCCCCUUAGUGCUGGAGUUAACGCAU
rnacentral:rRNA from 1 species